rnacentral:ncRNA from 2 species
UCUUCAUCAAACAGAAUAGGUUUUACCUAACGUAGAUUAAUAGGGAAUCGUGUGAGAAUCACGAGCUGUCGCGCAACUGUAAGUAAUACCCAAAGGUUUUAUCCGGGAAUAUCCACUGCCAAAGCGGGAAGGAUGAUAAAACCGUUACAAGCCAGGAGACCUGCCUAUUCUGAAUGGACAAU